rfam:Gossypium hirsutum cultivar TM-1 chromosome 19, whole genome shotgun sequence
UGUUAAAAAUUGCAUCCAUUUGUACUAUUAAAAAUUGGAGUGGUUGAAGGAAUAACCAUAUUUGAGACAUGGUGUGCCACGAGUAUCUCAUGUUGACGUAUAGGGGCUAGUUUUUAACAUUAGAAAUGGAUGAAAAAUUUAAGA